UCUUAACUUUAUCUUUAAACUGUAUUUACACAGUAUAUAUAUUUUUGGCAAGCAUGAUUAAAAUUUCGACUUUUUAAUGAACACCUGAGUCUGAACUCUCACAGCGGUUUUUUUGUAUAAUCAACCCACUCAGUCGCCAUGCGCUUCGAUUAAAAGCAAUUUUCGCCAUUCUACGCUGGCUUUGUGCGCAUCUAAAUUAAACCCCGAAACCCGCAAAGUGAAUGCGUCACUUCAUUCGAAUGAAUGACAGGGGUAAAAAAGUUCAACAAAAAGCAACAACAAUAAACAAUAUUGGCCAAAAAAUGCUAAACUAGAGCGCGCGUCAUUCAAAACUCGCCAUGUUUUGUGUGCUAUGGUCACAACAACAACACACAAUAGCGGCGACAACAACAUGCGCGAAAUAUGCAAACAAAUAAAUCCGCAAAAUCGGUCGAAAAUGGCCACCGAAGCAACAAUUACAACAACCAUUGGCAAUAGUGCAUUGUUUUAUGCGGAGGCAUGCAUAGCGCCGGACGGACAGACGUUCACGUCGCAUGCCUCAAUUGUCGCCUUCACUUUCAUUCCGGACUAAGCUGUGAACGCCGCGUCGUGAAGCUCUACGGCGCUUACCACGCGCCUGACGGCCGGUGCUUCGGUCAUUUUCAUUACGAACUGGUUCAAUGCGAAAAAUUCGCUGAAAUAACUGGGGACAGUCGAAACAAAAAUCGAAAUACAUAACUGUAACAGUAGAGUGCAAAAUAUUUGCGACAAGUGUAGUUUCUAUUCCCCGAAAAAUGGUUUAAUUUGCUCGCAGGCAGGCAUUUGGCGGCCAGUAAGUGUUCGAAAUGCCAGCAAAUCUACUGCAAUUCACUGAUUGGGCACACUGCAUGCCCGCCGGCACGUCGCUUGCAUUAAGUUACUCUUCGCGCUUCAUGGUGUUCCGCAAAAGCCUCAGUCACCCCAUCGAGGUUUCCAAUUUCGGCUGAAAUGCUGGUUGUUGCCGGCUAUUCUUUGUGGUUGUUGUUGCUGUAAUUUUUGUUGUUUUUUAGUUGUCAACCGUUGUUGUGGCAUUCGUUGGCUUUGUAUUUGAAUUGGUUUUCAACGGUGUGUCUGUGUGUGAAUACUGCGUUUAGGUGAAAACUUGUCUGUGUGUGCCGAAAUUUGUGUUUAUGUGUAUUCUCCUAUUUCCAAGCACGCUUGAAAGUUGGUGGUAAUGGAGUGACAUCGAACUGAAUGAAAUUGCAAGCAAUUUUACAAAAAUUCCGUUUUUUCUGGUGUACAUUUAGGCGCAACAGUUAGAAUAUGCUAAGAGCCCGAUAACGUGGGAAGCAAAAUUAUUCGAAGCUUUACUAAGAGUUUUACUAAAAAUCGAUUAUUAAUUAAGUUCAGCUGCUGGUGGAUAGCACUAUCAAAUAUCUUACUUUAUAUUUGUCGUAGCAGUGUUUGAGUGCAAACUUGUGCGUCUAAAAGGCUGCAAUGAUUCGUAUGAAGAUUACUUUUGCAAGCUUUCUAGGGUUUACGGGGUUUAAUUAAUGGUUGAGCUUAAGAUUUAAAGGUAAGCAUUUUUUUCAAGGAAGCGGUUAUGUUAGAAAUAAACAGGUCGGUGAAGGCUAGUAAGGUUUUUAAAUCGAAACGACAAAGGCAGGACUUCACAUGUGAACGAGGUAGAGUCAGUAUUCUUUUCAGCCUGAAAUACAUAUUGAGGAAUGUAGAACUUUUCUAAAAUACACAGAGUUUCUUGUACAAGAAUUUACUGUAUAAAACAAUGCAGAAUGAUACUUGCAAGUAAUUUCCAAAUGAAUGUUAGUAUGUUUUCAUUGCGAGGCUGUUCAGAGUGCAUGAUUUAAAUUGAAGGAUUAAUGAGGUAUACACCAACAAUCUUGAUGAAAUAAAUUUUUGGGCCAUGAACUUAUUUUAUUUUUAUUAUUUAAAUGAAUGUACAUGAGGACUAGAUACAUGACAUUUAGUUUCGGCAGUCAUGUGUGCUGAAAUACGAUGGUUUGUCUUCUUCCCUCGCAUACUUUUAGGCAAAUUAUAAUAAAUUAGGUUUUUUCAGACUUCGUUAUGAAUUUGUGAUCUGAUUUUGGAAUAUUUUUUGGCUUUGUAAAAGUUUCUGCCGUGUUUCGUAAUUGGUUCCUAAAAGUAGAUACAAAUAUUGAGUUCGGGUAGAUUGAUGUAGAUUUUAUUACUUAAAUUUGGCUAUUAAGAAGUUAACUGGAAGCUUUAUUGAGGAAUAAUACCAUACAAGAUUAAUCCAGAAAAAAGAUUAAACCAAAAAAAAGUUGCCUAAAAUAUACUAAAAGGAAAGUUGGACUAAGCCUCCGAAUAUAUCCAUAUUUAGCAAAUACAAACUUUAACCAGAAAGAGCUUGAAGAUAUGCGCAGAAAAUAACUACAAAAACAUUCAAUGCUCACUCCUAAAAUUUAAGCCAAACGAGAAACUUUUAAGUACAUCGCAUUCCAUUUUUUACACGAGGUCUGUACGAAGUAGCCUAGUUUUUGUGUGAGCGCAGUAUUAUGUCUAAAAAUAUGACAUGACGUUACGAAAAAUGUGCGAAAAAAUGCAAAUAGGAAAAACAAAAUAAUACCAAUUUUUCUGUCAUGCCGUUAAGCUUUCAACGUGUGGCUUUAAUAUUUUUUUCGACUAUGCUUUCUGCUUCCACACCGCAGCUUGCAAUUUUGUUGCACUUUCAGCAGUGGCGACCACACAGGCGGUAAGGCCUAACUGUAGGCGCUAGGCGGGUUCGGUUAAUCGCAAUGCAAUUUUCGUUGCUGCACGUGACAUCAAUAGACCGUGGUGUAUGCAAAUGCACCAAUAUCAAAAAAUACGACCUUAAACGCAAGUAAAGUGCGCCUAAAAAGAGGCAAACAAGUAUUAAAUCAAAUGCAUGUCAUGAUAAAUAAACGUCUGUUGACACGGUGUUAUAUCGAAUUUUCGAGUGAAGUAAUAUUUUUUAUUGCAAAAAAUAAAAGUGUUGAGUACCAUAAUAGGCGCUGAAGAGUGUGCUGCAAGAAGCUGUUGAUAAAAGUGCAUUAAAUGGCGUUUUUGUGGGCGCCGUAACAAUAGUUCCACGAAAAUGAAAUAAUUGCUUGACAAAAAGUGACAUGCAAUCCCAUUAAAUGGAUUUUUUUAUGAGUUAUUGAAGUGGCGUUAAACCCACGCCGUGCAAAUUUAACAAUAAGGUGUGAUAAAAUGGACCACACAGUAACCAAAAUUGAACAAUGCAUGAAAGUGUUUUUCGUUUUUCGGUAUUUUCGCGAUUAAACAUUGGAUUGUAAUUUGUUUGUAACGUGAAAAGCAUUUCCUAUAGUAUCUAUAUGUAAUAUGUAACUGGUGAAAUAUGUAGUGGUACAUUUUUCGGUAGCCUUUUUUUGUCAGAUCACGCAUGAUACUUCAAACAGUGACCGACACAAAGCCGUAUACCAAAUCAGCUGAUACGCCCUAUCUUAUGAGAGCGCAAUGUUAAUGAACACUCACCCCCGCUUCUAUCGUCUAAAGAAAGUAAAAAGUGAAUACAAACUUACAAUAUUUUAAAUAGAAUAAUACAAAUUUAUUUCAAAAUAUGGACGACGAAAAAUGUAUAUAUUUAGUAGAAGCUCAAAAGAAGGUUCAUGACAAAAGUAGACCCUACUAUAGAUUUUGGUCAAAGAAGGAUAGGUUGUGGGAACAAAUUGGGAAGGAGAUGCUCACAAGUAGUAAGUUUGGAUUUGUUAUUUAUGGGUUGGCAUAAUAUAAAAAAUAAAUAAUAACAUUAUUAUUAUUAUAUAGGAGAGUUUGCCGUGGAAAAUGGCUAGCGCUUUGCGAUCGAUUCAGCAGAGAAGUUAGGAAGGCUAUAGCACCAUCAGACAGCGGGGCGCAGUUUUAUAAGCAGUGGCACUUAAUGGAAGCGGGGCAGUUUUUAAAGCCGCAUUUCGUAACGACCGUAAACUUUUUUAACUUACAAAAUUUAUAUUUACAGAAUAAGAUGUUCGCAAAAUAUUUGCGCUAGCGUUUUUACAUCGCGAUCACCUGUGGAAGCAGUAAAAGUGCCAACACCGUCACCCCCUUUCACAUUAAGCCCUGUUUUAGUAUCAUUUCCCUCACCAUCGCCUGCUCUCACAGUGUCGCAACCCUUACAAAAUAAUUUUAACGAGUCACCACCUCCAGCCUCACUGACUUCGCCAUCGGGUUCUGCGCUAGUGCCCUCACUAACCCAAACGGUUGGUAAAUGUCGAGAAAACAACAGCGAAGUGGACAAAACAAUUAUUGAAGCAAUCGAAUAAUUUAAAAAUAGUUGGUCCAGAAAUGAAGAAGAAAUUUUGAUGGUUUCCAUACUAUCAAAAAUGAGUGGCGAAAACCAUUGACGGGCUAUGCAAAAAAUAUUUGAAGUAGCUGUCGAGGUCCAACAGGAGCCAGAGUAGAAUGUAACACUUUUUUUAAAGUUAAUUUUGAUAUUUUUUGUAUUAGUAUACACUUUUAUGUAAUAGUUGAUGUGAUAUUUAUGUUUUGUAUUUAUAUCAUGAGUGUUACUUUUUAUGGAAUAGUCAAUGUGUUUGUUUUAAAGUUAAUUAAUUUAAUUGAUUGUUUUUAAUAUUUGUUAAUAACGAUUAAGUUAAUUUAAUUAUUUAUGUCUUCAUUAUUACUUUUUAUUUAAUAGUGUUUCUGUAUACAUGUGUGAUAUUUAUGUUUUAAAAUUAAUUUAAAACAAAAAAUUCAAGAAGUCAUGAAAAUUAGUAGUAAUUUUUUAAUAAUAUUAUAUGGUCCACCUAUGACAAUGCCUAUGUUGUUCUGGUAAGUUAAACGCAUUUGAAGGACCUCUACGCACUGAAGUUCGCGUUGGUUGUAAAUAGUCGUAAUUUUUAUAGUCGCUACGGCAAUCGCCGACAUGAUCUAUUCUAUCUCCUUCUAAUCGAUCUACAUAGUUUGUGAUCAUUUAACAUUAUAAAAUUAUCUAAAGUUCUGCAAGCCAACACUAUUUUUUUAGAAUUUUCUGGAUUACAUUUAAUCGUCGUUCUCAAAUUCUCCAUCGAGCAGUCAAUAUUUCAAACGAAUUUUCUACAUUUCAGAGCGCAUUAAAUUACUUCGUAGCGGGAAUGCAGCAUCUCGAACGAAAAAUUGUGGAAAAGGUUCGGGUGACACGUCAGAAAAUGGCAUAGCAGGUGGCAAAGGCGACGAGUAUUCCAUUAACGCAUGGCCAAAUGUAACUUUCACUUUGACUUCCAUAACUGCCACUACUAAUACUGAUGUGAACGUAUAUUUCGCAUCACAUGCAGCCAUCAAAACGAUUAUAGAACUAUAUACGAGCUAUAGAACUUUUUAUAAUAGUCAAACAUCGCAUUGGUCGGGCACUUAAUAGCAACGUGCUUGCCAUCAAUUGCAUCGACACAAAUCGGAAUGUUCAACAUAUAUAAAAAAAUCUUUAGCGAUGUCUUUGCAUUGAGACUAAUGUAAUAGACUGAGAAAAGCAAUCGCCAGAUUACCUCACACGUCUCUAAUAUGAUUUUCCGCACUAUUGUCUUCCCUAAUUUAUAACUCCAUGCAUUAUUUUACAACGAUACGCCUUGUGAUAAAAAGCUAACAAUUAUAAGAAAAGCACAUCUAUGCAUAUACAUAUAUACAUACAUAUUAGUUUACAAUACACUACCAAUCAACUUACAGCAACACCAACGAAAGCUUUUCCUCGGGACCAAUCCGCUGUAUCGCCUCUGUAAUGAUUUCCUUACUAAGUUCAUAAGCAAGUUAAAUAAGUCGGACUGAGCAACGAUUAAAAGUCGUUCAACUUUAAUACGAAAAUUUACGUUCUGUAAGAAUGUGUUUCGGGCGCUUCACUCAACUUAUGGUCACCAUCACUCAUCUUGAGACCCAGCUUUCAUUAUAGGAUAAUAUUCGACCGAAUAGACCACGUCCAGCAUGCAGUGAAGAAAAUAUAGCUGUCGUAGCUGGGAGUGUAUACACAAUUUUGUUCAGCGAUGAGGCCCAUUUCUGCAGCAAGAGCUGCCAUUUCAUCUAGAAAAAAACGGUUUGGUGUGGUUUGUGAGCCGGUGGAAUCAUCGGUCCACAUUUCUUCAAAAGGGAUGCCGGUGAGAACCUAACCGUCAAUGGCUGCCGUUAUUGCGCCAUGAUAACCGAAUAUUGGAUAUCUCGGGGACAUUUCGUUUCAAAAAUACAGCGCCACUUCCCACACAUCGCAUCAAUCAAUGAAUUUAUUGAGAGAACACUUCGGUGAGCAGAUAAUUUCAAGUUAUGGGCCGUUUGAUUGGCCACCAAGAUCGUGUGAUAUCACACCGUUAGACUCUUUCCUGUGGGAAUAUGUAAAGUCAAAAGUCUAUGCGGACAAUCUUACUUCGAUUCAGGCCUUGGAGCAAAACAUCACGCGUGUCAUUCCCCAGUUACCAGUCGAAAUGCUCGAACAAGUCAUCGAAAAUUGGAUUCACCGAAUGGACCAUCUGAGAUGUAGCCGCAACCAACAUUUGAAAGAGAUAAUCUUCAUAAAAUAAAUGCCAAAGAAUGUUCUUCCAAAUGAUAUUAAACAUUCCUCAUUAAAUUUGA